rnacentral:rRNA from 1 species
ACUUUGGUGGCUACCGGCAGACGGGUGAGGAACACCUACAUACCUUCCUUUUAAUGGGGAAUAGCCCAGAGAAAUUUGGAUUAAUACCCCGUAACAUGACCGAGUGGCAUCACUUGGUUAUUAUAGCUUCGGCGCUAAAUGAUGGGUGUGCGUAUGAUUAGAUAGUUGGCGAGGUUACGGCUCACCAAGUCUACGAUCAUUAGCUGAUGUGAGAGCAUGAUCAGCCACACGGGCACUGAGACACGGGCCCGACUCCUACGGGAGGCAGCAGUAAGGAAUAUUGGUCAAUGGACGCAAGUCUGAACCAGCUAUGCCGCGUGAAGGAUUAAGGUCCUCUGGAUUGUAAACUUCUUUUAUCUGGGACGAAAAAAGGUCUUUCUAGACCCCUUGACGGUACCAGAUGAAUAAGCACCGGCUAACUCCGUGCCAGCAGCCGCGGUAAUACGGAGGGUGCAAGCGUUAUCCGGAUUCACUGGGUUUAAAGGGUGCGUAGGCGGGUAGGUAAGUCAGUGGUGAAAUCCUGGAGCUCAACUCCAGAACUGCCAUUGAUACUAUCUAUCUUGAAUAUUGUGGAGGUAAGCGGAAUAUGUCAUGUAGCGGUGAAAUGCUUAGAUAUGACAUAGAACACCCAUUGCGAAGGCAGCUUACUACGCAUAUAUUGACGCUGAGGCACGAAAGCGUGGGGAUCAAACAGGAUUAGAUACCCUGGUAGUCCACGCCCUAAACGAUGGAUACUCGACAUACGCGAUACACUGUGUGUGUCUGAGCGAAAGCAUUAAGUAUCCCACCUGGGAAGUACGUUCGCAAGAAUGAAACUCAAAGGAAUUGGCGGGGGUCCGCACAAGCGGUGGA